rfam:Brevibacillus parabrevis strain CN1 contig_24, whole genome shotgun sequence.
AUAUCGAAACGGCAAACCCGGGGAAAUCCGGCGACGCAAAGCUAGAGGGGCUACCUCCGCACAAGCGGGCAUGCCAGCCAGCUACCGAA